rnacentral:lncRNA from 1 species
CACCUGCCUUCUCUUGGUGCCGCACAGUCUCCUCCAGCGCCUUCAUCUUCUGCAGCUUGCCCUGGUACUGCUUCAGCAGAGCGGCCUGUGGCUGCUGGGCCUGAUACAGAAGGAGCAGCUCCUUCUCUCGAUCAUUCUUCUCAGCUCACUCGAAUCAGCUCAUUCUGCAAAUGCUGCACCCUGUCCCUCAGUUUCUUCAUAUCCAGCUCACUCAGCAGCAGUUUCUGCUUCAUGGACACUCGGCUCCUCAGUAUGCGGUUCUCUCCUUCCAGGAUGCUGGCCUGUCUCCGCAGAGACAGGAUGUCCUCUGCCAUCUUCUGCAUGGCCCGCCGGAGCCCCCUUUUGUCUGUUUGAGUAAGAGCUGGCUAAAGGCUGAAGGAUAAUUAGUCCCUGGCAGGAGCCGAUGAAUGAGCAUUUUAUCUGAUUAAACUGGGAGUGAACUGG